rnacentral:miRNA from 1 species
ACUUGAUGAUGUUUAUGACGUCGAAUAUCGACGUCAUAAACACCAAACUUGAUGGUGUUUAUGACGUCGAAUAUCGACGUCAUAAACACCA